rnacentral:rRNA from 1 species
GAUGAACGCUAGCGGCAGGCUUAAUACAUGCAAGUCGUGGGGCAGCAUGAAUGUAGCAAUACAUUUGAUGGCGACCGGCAAACGGGUGCGGAACACGUACACAACCUUCCUAUAAGUGGGGAAUAGCCCAGAGAAAUUUGGAUUAAUACCCCGUAACAUAACGAUGUGGCAUCACAUUGUUAUUAUAGCUUCGGCGCUUAUUGAUGGGUGUGCGGCUGAUUAGAUAGUUGGCGGGGUAACGGCCCACCAAGUCUACGAUCAGUAGCUGAUGUGAGAGCAUGAUCAGCCACACGGGCACUGAGACACGGGCCCGACUCCUACGGGAGGCAGCAGUAAGGAAUAUUGGUCAAUGGACGCAAGUCUGGACCAGCCAUGCCGCGUGAAGGAUUAAGGUCCUCUGGAUUGUAAACUUCUUUUAUCUGGGACGAAAAAAGGCGAUUCUUCGUCACUUGACGGUACCAGAUGAAUAAGCACCGGCUAACUCCGUGCCAGCCGCCGCGGUAAAAC